CUGUCGGUUUUCGUCAUAAAUUUUAAUUUUACAACGAUAGGCCUAUAGAAUAAGCUUCAUUCGUGUUGUAUAACCGAUUUGAUGAAAUUUAAUUAAAAGCAUUUUUAUUAGGCUAUUUAAUAAUGAUACUGGAUGAUAAAUAAACUGAAUUUUAAAGCUACUGUACUCUAUACAUUCCUAAAACGCUGGUCUCAAUUUUGUAUCUGUGUAAAUAAGAUGGAAUAAUUGUGACCAGUUAAUUUACUUCAACAUUCAAACAAGUAGCAAUUUAUGUGAUGGACUUUUAAGUUGGGCAACUAUGGAUUACGGAUAACCAUAGAAAGAGCAGACAACUGUAAAUGGCCAGGAAGCGGAAAAGAUCCCCAAUUCUUCGGGGAAAAUGGUCGUUUGGAGAGGAAAUGCGUUUCCAUGGAGAUUUGUUUUACGUCGUCUAGCGCUCCCGACGAGAUCAUUUGAGGAAUUGCAUGCCAUUCAUCGCCUUCGACGUCUAUUUUUAGAAGGUCUAUUGUUUUCUGAAACGAAAAUACAUAUAAGAGUAUCUGCUAACAGACUUGAAGUGGAAGCGGAGAGAUUGUACACGCCUGAACAGAUACCGUUUCAAAACAGAAAAUGCAAACACUUCAACUUUCUUGAGGACGAAUUUCAUUUGUUACUGGAAUGCCCAAUGUUUAUGUAUUUAAGAAGUAUAUAGAUUAAUAUUACUGGAAGAACCCAAACAUGAUCAAGUUUAUUGAUCUCUUACAGACUGACAAUGAAAAAAAGUGAACGUUAUUUAUCUAUAUUUGUUUUUAAAGCUUUUCAAUUGAGGGCUGACUUAUAUUAUCAAUAGUUUCUCUUCAUGUACUUACAUUUAUUACCUAUUUUAUAUUUUAAAAAAAUACGAUCAAUUGAAUACACAAAUUUUGUAUUACAACUUUCAUCUAGGUUCAGGUUGUUUACACAUUUUUGUAUUAAGACUUUCAUCUACGUUCUGUUAAAAGUUCUCAUUGACCAUCUGUGUAUAUACUUUGAAAUAAACUCUAUAUCAUGCA